rnacentral:rRNA from 1 species
CCUACGGGUGGCAGCAGUGGGGAAUAUUGCACAAUGGGGGAAACCCUGAUGCAGCAACGCCGCGUGAGUGAAGAAGUAUCUCGGUAUGUAAAGCUCUAUCAGCAGGGAAGAAAAUGACGGUACCUGACUAAGAAGCCCCGGCUAACUACGUGCCAGCCGCCGCGGUAAUACGUAGGGGGCAAGCGUUAUCCGGAUUUACUGGGUGGAAAGGGAGCGUAGACGGUGUGGCAAGUCUGAAGUGAAAGCCCGGGGCUCAACCCCGGGACUGCUUUGGAAACUGUCAUGCUGGAGUGCGGGAGAGGUAAGCGGAAUUCCUAGGGUAGCGGUGAAAUGCGUAGAUAUUAGGAGGAACACCAGUGGCGAAGGCGGCUUACUGGACGGUAACUGACGUUGAGGCUCGAAAGCGUGGGGAGCAAACAGGAUUAGAUACCCCUGUAGUC